rnacentral:rRNA from 1 species
AACGAACGCUGGCGGCAGGCUUAACACAUGCAAGUCGAACGCCCCGCAAGGGGAGUGGCAGACGGGUGAGUAACGCGUGGGAAUCUACCCAUCUCUGCGGAAUAGCUCCGGGAAACUGGAAUUAAUACCGCAUACGCCCUACGGGGGAAAGAUUUAUCGGGGAGGGAUGAGCCCGCGUUGGAUUAGCUAGUUGGUGGGGUAAAGGCCUUCCAAGGCGACGAUCCAUAGCUGGUCUGAGAGGAUGAUCAGCCACAUUGGGACUGAGACACGGCCCAAACUCCUACGGGAGGCAGCAGUGGGGAAUAUUGGACAAUGGGCGCAAGCCUGAUCCAGCCAUGCCGCGUGAGUGAUGAAGGCCUUAGGGUUGUAAAGCUCUUUCACCGGUGAAGAUAAUGACGGUAACCGGAGAAGAAGCCCCGGCUAACUUCGUGCCAGCCGCCGCAGUAA